GUGGGGAAUAUUGGACAAUGGGCGAAAGCCUGAUCCAGCCAUGCCGCGUGUGUGAAGAAGGUCUUCGGAUUGUAAAGCACUUUAAGUUGGGAGGAAGGGCAGUAAGUUAAUACCUUGCUGUUUUGACGUUACCGACAGAAUAAGCACCGGCUAACUUCGUGCCAGCAGCCGCGGUAAUACGAAGGGUGCAAGCGUUAAUCGGAAUUACUGGGCGUAAAGCGCGCGUAGGUGGUGUUGUAAGUUGGAGGUGAAAUCCCCGGGCUCAACCUGGGAACUGCCUCCAAAACUGCAUGACUAGAGUACGGUAGAGGGUAGUGGAAUUUCCUGUGUAGCGGUGAAAUGCGUAGAUAUAGGAAGGAACACCAGUGGCGAAGGCGACUACCUGGACUGAUACUGACACUGAGGUGCGAAAGCGUGGGGAGCAAACAGGAUUAGAAACCCGUGUAGUCC
rnacentral:rRNA from 1 species